GAAAAAGUCCCUAGAUCGCACAAUGAUAUUAUUGUGGCCGCCAUGUUGAGUGUGUUAUUGCUUCUGUCAGAAAAGUAAUAAUUUUGUAAAAUAGUGCAUGAAAAAAUGGAAGAAACGAAAGUUAUUUAUCACAUAGACGACGAAGAAACCCCGUAUUUAGUAAAGAUACCAAUAGCCCCGGAUAAAGUGACUUUAGUGGAUUUUAAAAAUGUUCUCAACAGGCCUAACUACAAAUUUUUCUUUAAAUCGAUGGACGACGAUUUUGGUGUCGUAAAAGAAGAGAUCAUUGAAGAUUCAGCAAAUUUGCCAUGUUUUAAUGGACGAGUAGUUAGUUGGUUGGUUUCAGCCGAAGGCUCAAAUCAAUCAGAUGGCGGUUCUCAAUGUACAGACAGUGUGACACACCAAUCAGAAUCUAGGUUACCUCCUGCGAUAGCAGACUCAGUUUGUACUGAUACAGAAAGUAUUAUAAGCUCAAGACAGGGUAGAAGACAUCACAAAUACUCAUCUCGUAUUAACGGACAUCUUCCAAGAGUAUAUGAAUCUGCAUCUGUGCUUAGUUCAGAUUUGGAAACAACCAGUUUUCAGUCGGAAACCACAGGAAGGCAUACUGUCCUAUCAGAAUGUUCCAGUGUUAGUAGGUUACAUGUGGCAAGUAGAAAAAGACCUCAAAGGCGACGGAAACAGCGGUUACAGCCAAUGUCCAGAACAAGUUCUUACUCAAGUAUAACAGAUUCUACCAUGUCCUUAAAUAUAAUUACAGUUACUCUAAAUAUGGAUACAGUGAAUUUCCUUGGUAUAUCUAUAGUGGGCCAGAGCAAUAAAGGGGGAGAUGGUGGUAUAUAUGUCGGAUCUAUAAUGAAAGGGGGGGCAGUAGCUUUAGAUGGUAGGAUAGAGCCAGGUGAUAUGAUAUUACAGGUGAACGAUGUAAAUUUUGAAAAUAUGUCAAAUGACGAAGCUGUAAAAGUAUUAAGGGAAGUUGUACAAAAACCAGGACCCAUUAAGUUAGUAGUUGCCAAAUGUUGGGAUCCGAAUCCCAAGGGAUACUUUACAAUACCAAGAACAGAACCUGUUAGACCUAUAGACCCUGGUGCAUGGGUGGCACACACAGCUGCAGUGCGAGGCGAUCCAGUAGCAAGGCCACCUAGUAGUUCAACAGUCUCCAGCUCAUCAAUUGCCAGUACAAUACCAGCCAAUGAACGAGAAUGUCUCAUAGGUCCUGACAUGGAAGAACCACUAUCUGUCAACUCUCCGAUGUCUCAAGUGGUGCAAGCCAUGCAGAGGCCCGACAGCGGUUUGGAAAUCAGGGACAGAAUGUGGCUGAAGAUCACGAUUCCUAAUGCAUUUAUCGGCACCGACAUGAUCGAUUGGUUAUUGACGCACGUCGAAGGUUUCACAGAGAGGAGGGACGCCAGAAAAUACGCUUCUCACCUUCUCAAAGCAGGCUUCAUCAGACAUACCGUGAAUAAGAUCACUUUUUCGGAACAAUGUUAUUACAUAUUCGGUGACCUUUGUUCAGCGAUUACCAACCUCAAAAUACAGGGUGAUACAGAUAGUGUGGGACCUUUACCAAAUGUUCCUAACUACAUGCCAUAUAGCGGUACAUACAAUCCACUGGAGUACAUGCCGAUGCCAUUUUAUAGUGAGAAUACAGUAUACGGUUACAAUAAGGAAGAAUCAGUGUUAAGUGGAAGCGGCGGUUCGUCUGGCGGUUCUGAACACUUGAAAGACACGGCAGCUGGUCAGAGCAGCGCUUCGGACAGCGACAUCACCUCGUUGGGUCCGCGCUCCGCCGCAGGGCCGAAGACUUCGGGGAACGGCAACGGCAGCUCCAACGGCUCCGAGCAGAGCAGCGGAACACAAGUAGCGACCAACCCACAGUCUAAAGACAUUGCCGGUAGUAGACAAUCUUUUAAGAUUGCCAUGGGCAAUCCAUGCGAGAUGUUUGUUGAUGUUAUGUAGAAUGUGAUUGAUUGAUUUUUGUAUUUGUAUUGAGUAGAUGCUAAAAAAUGUGUUCAAAAUCAACUUUUGAGCGCGAGAGACGAAGUUGUUCACCAGUACCCCAGAAAACGAAGCCGAAAAAGCACUUAAAAAUAGAAAACUUACUGGCCGCUAUUUUUAAAAUUGAAUAGCUGGGGGAAGUCCAUAGAAAAGGCGUACCAUCCCGUCGGUAUCGAAAUUUUUGCUGCAUCAUGGUCUUUUAUUAAACGUUAAGCAAAAAAGCGACUUAUUUCAUUCAUUUCAAUACAUAUUGCAAAAAAACUACGCAUUGUAGAUGAAAAUGUUCAACAGCUGACUUAUUAAAAAUGUUUGCUCUUGAAAAUGGAACUUUCGGAUACAGGGUGGUAAAUUGGCAAACGGGCCAUAGGAAACUCAAUGUAAAAUUCUAAACUGUUGAAUUCCUGCUUCCCUAAUUAUUUUACAUCAAAAGACAUUAGAAACUAUUUGUAGACGGUUGAAAUCUGUAUUGAAAACAACUAUUAAAAUUGUUCUACGAAUUAAACAUAUUCCAAAAUUUUGUAAAAAUGUAAUACAUUUUUCAGUUUUUCAGCCCAAAAUUAGGCCACACACAGUGCAAUAAUGUGUCACAAUGAAGUUAUUAUUUUCAUAUUUUUGAACUGUCAAUAUUUUUAUUUUAUCAUUUAUUGUUUAAAAACAAUACAGUUGAUAAGAUACUCCUCAGUUGCGGAAAAAGUAUUAAUAAUGAAGAUUUUUUUAUUUAGUCAAUGGUGUAACUGUCAGUUAAAUAGUAACGUGUGGCCUAACUUUUACACACAUACCUACUGUGUCAAAUGUAUUAUAUUUUUCAAAAUUUUGGAAUGCGUUUAAAUCGUAGAACAAUUUUAACUUUUGAUUUUAAUACAGAUUUCAAUCCUCUACAAAUAUUCUCUCAUGACUUUUGAUGUAAAAUAAUUAGGGAGCAGAAAUUCAACAGUUUAGAAUUUUACAUUGAACAAUAUUAAAUGUACUAUAAGCUAUAGUAUUUUGCCCAUUCUUUCCUACCAAAGCAUGAUAUUGUGUAUUAUUGACCUGUAGCAUUUUUGAACUCGAAGGUCCAGCUUCAUUUGCUGUUCUGAGAUUUUAGAUCAACUUCUGGUGGUGACUGGAAUCCAGCUGCAGAUUUGGUUUUAGAGAGCUUGCAUUUGAGUGACCCGUUAAUUUAAUUAACUCCUGUUCAGAAACACCUUGCUUGAACAAGGCUGGAAGAUCGGUGAGAAUGGUUUGUUAUUUUAUGUUUUUUUGUCUAUUCCAAUUUUUUCAGCUGACAUUUUUGUCCACCUAGAUACGGUGUUGAUUCCAGUUUCAAGUGGACAGUUUUUGAACCAAAAUUCAUCCUUCCAGUUAGGGUGAACGGUAAGAAAGAGUCUAUCUGAUAAAAUCUUUGGUCCCUUUUUUUCCAAUAAUUUCAAAAAUAAUCUAACUGGGCAUAAAAAUUUUCGUUUGAUAAUUUUCUCACCAGCCAUUUGCUGCGUGCCAAAUUUUUCGAACUGCCUUCAAUUUGUUUUGGAAAAAAUGCUGUUGUAUUCAAUUCGGCCCGUAAAUUCUCCCAUAACAUCAAAUUCCUUCUGGAAAAAGUGAAUCUUCCAGUUUACUGCCUCAUUGUCUCUCCAAGCAAGUUCAAAUGAGCAAAGGUGAAAAAACUUUUUUGUGCUCUAUCGAAGGUUUCCUCGUUUUAACUUUGGAUGAUUUUUAAUGGUUCUUCGGUGGAUAAUGCUUUUGAACUGAGUUUUCUUUUUUGUUGAACACUUCGAAGCUGCCUCCGCUUGGUAUAUCUGGCCAAUCUUGCACAUUUGAAAGAUAUAUCUGUGAAAGGGUCGAUUUUUAUGCCGUACUCCGUAAAAUAUUUUUCUUGUACCAUUUUUGCUGUAGUAUUCCACAUUGACUUUACAGACGACUCUUUAUAGUCUUCGCCAUUGCCUUUUUUCAUGGUAAAGGCAUAAUCUUUGAGAAUUUUUGCUAGUUCCGUUCCGUUAAACAUCUUUCAAGCGUAAAAUUUCUCACCCGUAGGAACUCCGAAAAUUAGGUCCAAAUAGAGCUUCUGGACCUCUGCGUGUUCAAUGGGACAUUUUCCGAAACCAAUUUUUGGAUUUCUUCACCUGACUGGCAUCCAAAUCUUGAUUUUUCGUCUGUAUUCAUUAUAUCAAUCUGUCCAAAAUUGAUUACGCCUCAACUCGGGCGCCCAUAUAAAAAUUUUGAGGGAGGGGCCAGACGUAAAGAUGUUGCACAUUACAUUUUGUAUAUUUUGGAUAGCUAUAAUAUACAGUUUAAAGCACACGAAAAGCUAGGGGGCCACGCCCCCCUCCCUGCCUAUGACAAAUGACGUUUGUCAAACUGGCAACAAUAGUAUUACCAGACACCUUCGUGACGGAUCUGUCAUAAUUUUGUCGCUGAGAAAUCACAGUCAGGAAGGAGUUUGGUCAGUAGACGUUUGCUAUGACGUUUUAUCCGUUAAAAAUAGUCUAGUGCAAUAUUGAAAUGAAUAAAAAGUCGCUUUUUUGCUUAAAUUUUAUAAAAAACCAUGACGCAUUAAACAUGUCGAUACCCACGGGUUGGUGCGUCUUUACUAUUGAUUUGUCCCAGGUAUUCCAGUUAAGAGAAGCUGCCAAUAAUUUUUCAAUUUUUAAAUGUUUCGUUUCCUGGGGUAGAACAUUACUUUGUACAAAGUAAACUAUAAAGAAAUUGUGGACAAUUUCAGAUUUUUAACAUUUUAUAUUAUGAAUUUGUUUUAAAAACAAUUUUAAUAAUAUUUUUACAAAACAUUGAAGACGAUGUUUGUUUUGAUACUUGGUAUAUUUAAAUUUUUCCAAAAAGUGUUCAUGUGGUGUGAAAACAUAAGAAUACAAGAUAGUAUGCUGGAAUACUAACUAAAGUCAUGUUAUUUUUGAAUUUACGUCGACGGUAAAAUUAAAAUUUACGGCAAAAUUUAAUGGUAUGCAUAAUAAAUAAAAUGUAUACCAUUUUUAUUCAGUUGCAAUGCGAAGGCAAAACAAGUCAUCAUCGGAGAGGCGUAGGCCUGCUGCUCUCUGCUCGAAGUGACCAAACCAUGAAAGUUUAUCCCCGGAUUGCAACUGACGUGCAUGGAGUAGGUGACUAGCGUCAUCUGGCAACUGAAAGGUAAAGUUUUCAAUCCUAAUAGCAACAUUAAUAAUAUUGAAAAAUAUUAAAAAUAUUACUAAAAGAUUUUUAAAUUGAAAACUUAUUGGUCCAUUUCCCUGGUGACACCUCCAAGGCUUCUAAAAUUUGCAAGCCAGAUAGAUGCUGCAGUAAAGACAAGAGGCAAUUCUAAAAAGUUGCAAUUCACAACCCCCGUCUGCAGCCCGGACUGCAGUCCCACGGACUGCGCUCCCUGUUCUAAGUGAAAAAAAAUUAGAUUGUUUUGCCUUCGCAUUGUAUCUGAAUAAAAAUGGUAUACAUUUUUAUUUAUAUUAGUAUUACUCCUAUAGAGUAACUAGGUUCAUUUUCCGUUGGAACUUUACCAAGCUGCAGACGGGGGUUGUGAAUUGCAACUUUUUAGAAUUCCCUCUUGUCUUCACUGCAGCAUCCAUCUGGCUUGUAAAUUUUAGAAGCCAUGGAGGUGUUACCAGGGAAAUCGACCAAUAAGUUUUCAAUUUAAAAACCUUUUAGUAAUAUUUUUAAUAUUUUUCAAUAUUAUUAAUGUUGCUAUUAGGAUUGAAAACUUUACCUCUUACCUUUUUGUAUGCAUAAUAACUUAUGAAUACGAAAAGUUUGCGAUGAUUUCGGAAUGUCAUAUUUUUCCGAAUGCUUUUACUGCAAUACUGCAAAGGAAGUACUGUAACUAGAUACUUCAGUAUCUACUUACUGUAGAUACUGUAAGUAAUACUGUAAUGUAUACUGUCUUUUGAGCCUUUCUCUGCCAAUUUUUGACAUAAACCUUGAUAAACAAAAUUACAGAAUGGAAUCCGAUGGAAAGAAGAAAAACUGGACGAUCUCAAAGAUCAUUAUGGAUGUUGCUUUGACGUCGCUGGACGUCAAAGUACAAAGAAAAAAGAGGCUCCAAAUAGUAUCAAAGGCGUUUUGAAGAAAGUGUGGUAGAGGAAUGCUGAGAGGAAGAUGGGCGGACUGCGUUGCAGAGGACUUGAGACAGAAAGGUUUAAAUUAAGAAGACACGAUAGACAGAAAUAAGUGACGAAGAAGAGUAAGUAAUAGCGAUCCCUGAAGAAGAAGAAGCUGAGGAAGAAUAAGAAAGGUAGUCAGUAUGCUAGACUUUCCGAAGAGCGUAGUAGAUAUAUAAAAGGGGAGAUAUACAAUUAUUGCAUAUGAAAUUAAGAAAAUCCAAUGUGGCGUUUAGUCUCUUCGGAGUGGAUUAAGUCGUUUAAAAACUUUCACGAGAGCUGUAAUAGUGUUCUGGAGGAUAUAAUGGCACGUCUAGACUUAGGCUAGGCUUUGGGUCAUUAUUAUCUUUCCAAUUUUAAUAGCUUGGCUCCAGUAGAGCCUAAUUACAUCUUAAUUAGUCUCUAAAAGGCUUUGCAACUUGAUGAAAUAUCAAAAAAAGUAGCUUUUGCGGUAUUCAAAUUCACUAAUUUUACUCACACUACGCAUUACGUUAUAGCUUUGUUCGCGGAGCCGAUCACUGACUAGUCCACGACAAAAUCGCAUGCGUACUUAUAAUUCCACUCUUUUCACCUCCAAAUAAGUAAAACCAAAGAUAAAUUUCCCGGUAACUAGUUAUCCGGAGGUGAAAAGACCGGUCCUUAAUGUAUUAUUUAUAUUAUUUUUAAGUGUGCAUGCGAUUUUGUCGUGACUUAGUCAGUGAUCGGCUCCGCGAACAAAGCUUAUAAUCUGAUUGCGAAAUCAAGAGUAGAGUCGGUUCGCUAAACUCAAGACACAACUGGCUAGUGAUUUUAGUAGGUAAGUAAUUUUGCCAAUUUUACUAAAUUGUUACUACAAAAAAAAUAUUACUAAAUUGUUAAUAAUUACUAAAUAGAUAGCAAUUUUGGCAAAAUUGGCCAAAAACAAAAAAAAUUACCUACUAAAAUCACUAGCCAGUUGUAUCUGAGUUUAGCGAACCGACUAUACCAAGCCAAUGGCCUUAGUUAUCGAGGCAUUUACGCUACAUUUAAAAAAAAAUCACCAAUUGCUAGUAAUAUUUUGCAAUAUGUUCGUAAACUGCAAAAGUUAGUAGAAACAAGUUUAUUUUACUUGGUUUUUCAGCUUACUACUUGUAUUCCGGUUUUAAUCGAUAAAAAAACAAGUAUUUUUUGGCGGCUUUUUUUUUAAAUACUAUUAAAUUUUGUUAUGUCAAUACUUGCAAAGAAAGAUCGCAAAAUCCGUUAAAAAGAAAAGUUAACCUCAAAGGUUAUUUUACUUUCCACAAGAACAUAGUCACAAAGGAAAUAAAUGACAUAUUUCCUUUAUGAUUUGCCAUUUGCCAGUCAAUAGGUUUGUUCUAGAAUCACUUUCAAACGGUUUAAAAUUAUCAGAAGCAUGCGCAUUUGUUUGAUGGCGUUCAAGCACACGAAUUACCUACUAUAUAGUUUGAAACUACUAGUCGACGUUUUUGAUUUGGAGACUGGUUUAAAACGGUCAAAAGAGUUUACGGAUUUUGUUCGGAUAUUCAGUUUGCGACUUGCGCAGUUAAAUUACUUAUUUGAGGUAUAUAGAUUUUAAAUAAAAAUAAUAUGUUUUUGGACUGUUGCUUAGGUAACAUUAUUUACGUUUAUAACAAUAAUUUCAAUAUUUAGCAUAAAUCUUAAAAAUUUGAAUACUGAUAAGAACAUAGAGGUAUAUAUUAAAAUAGAAUGAGCCUACCCUCCACGCUUCCUGACGACAAGAUCUCUUCUACUGGUUUGGUGCUAUGUCUUUCUAGCACAUUGUAUCGAAAAACUAAGAUGACACUAAGUGUAAGUAUAGGCACGGAAGGGGAGGACUACUGUCGCAUCUUUAUAAGAGUGAAACAGCUCUGAGCCAAAUAAAAAACAUGGUGUCGUCACUUCGCUCUGAAUGACACUCUGUCUAUGAUAUAAGUCUGUGGAUAAGAAGAAUGUAUUUCUAAUCUAACCUCAAAAUUAUAAAUAAAAACAAACAUGAACCAGUCACAUUUGACAUAGGUAUUUUCUCCGAUAAAAUAGCGUUCUGGCAAAAAACAGUUUGCUACCAGUUUGUGGAUUGAACAUGCGCUGUAAAGCAGUACAAUACCUGGUGUCAAACCGCAUGCUAGAACAAACCUAAUAUGUUACAAAAUAUUAACUAUCGGGACCAAUAAGAAAUGUCUUUUCAUGCCAACUUCCAUCGUUUACAAAUUGUUAUUUAUUUUUCACGGAUUUUCAUCUUUCUUUUAAGUUAUUACAUCAAACAAAUAAAAUGUGCAAUAACUCAUUGCCCAAUGCGAGUGGCACCUUUCAAAUUUUAUUUAAAAUAGGUUUAAACAUACGAUUUCGUAAGGCAGCUAAUAUGAUUUUUAGUUUUUUUUUUUGAUAAAUUUUAACACAAUAUUUUCAAAAUAUGAUUAAUCUGGAUUAUUAUUUUUUCGUUGCUACGCCGAACUUGCGUAUUUGUAAGAGAUUUUUAAAGAAAAACUUUGCAAAUAUAGUUUCAACUUCUGUAAAAAAAAGUUAUACAAAUAAUUUAUUUUUCGUAAUUGUAAGCUAUUAAGUUAUAUGCGAUAUUACUGGAAAACGGUUUAAAAAAUUGUUUAUCAGGACACAAGUCACAAAUACCAAGCUAUAACUAUUAAAUUUUCUAAAAAUCACAAGCACAAAGUGAAAACGAUAGACAAAUUAGGAUAAUAACUUAUGAAUAGAAAAAGAAAAGGCUGAUUUUGAUAAAAAUACAAUUUACUAUAUUUGGAAACUACAUUUUUUUGAUAUUGUUGAUCACUUUAAAAAGUACUGUAGUAAUAAUACGUGGUGUGCUAUUUCAAAGUUAUAAUAUAUUUUCGUUAUGUUAAAAUUAUAAAUCUAGAUUUUUUCCCAAUUUAAAAAACACACAUUAAUAGGGCUCUUCGUCGAUUGACAUUUGUUUCGAGCUUCUGUCAUAUGUUGUAUAAACUGUGUAUAAUGUUGAUAUACACGGAGUGACACGGAUUAUACGACAUAUGACAGGAGCUCGAAACAAAUGACUGUUGUUGAAAAGCCCUGUAGGUGGUAUUGAACCUCUAAUCUGUUGUAGCCUGUUGUAGCUUACAUAUUUAUCUUGAGAGCAUAAUGUAGCACCGCCCACCAAAGUCAUUUAUAGUUGACAGCUGACAGUGACCAGGUAUGCAUGACACUAACGAUAAACGAAAAUGGAUAUCUAUUUGACCAAAUUUACAUCACAUUUUUUAUAUCUUAUGAUUGGUUCGAGCUGUAGUGUUGCUAGUGACUCACCAGGCAUGAUAUUCUAGCUUAUUGAAAAUAAUCGCCGAUAAACUGCCAAUGCCAGGGUAUCUGUAACAAUAUUUAUUGGAUAAAACUGUUGGAAUACCGCGUUGAUUCAAACAGAUUACAUAUACAGACCACCACUUCCGGCAAACACAGACUGCCAUGAUUCGUAGAGACUAGGAACCAAAUAAAAAUUAAGAAUAACUUGUAAUAUACUGCAAUAUUUGAAGACCCCCUAUGUAAUAUAAAAUAUCCAAUAGAACCUGGUAUUAUUUUUUGAAGAAACCCACCUAUUUAGUGUACCGUGUCUGCUAAGUUAAGUAGGUUUGAAUGGUAGUUUGUAUUAACCAUAUCAGUAGAAAGUUACAGUCUAACAACUUUUCAAUUUUGGAGACAGUUAUCAAUAAAACAACGAGGAAGGGCGUUUCAGAUGAAACGGAUUGGAAAUGGUUUGCUCUGAUCCAGAAGAACGUUUGAAUGUGCCAUCACCUCCUGCUAUACGUAUAUAACUACUUUAGACUUAUUUUAUAAAAAACCCAUGGUUAUGCUUAAAACCCAAAAAGUAGAUGAUAUAUUGUUUCAAAAUUAAACUUUUGUAUAUUUUAUCUAUAUGUAUUUUGUAUUAAAAUAGUAUAUUGAUA